GCAAGUCGAACGAAGUAGCAAUACUUAGUGGCAGACGGGUGAGUAACAUGUGGGUAUCUACCCUUUGGCCUGGAAUAACACGAGGAAACUUGUGCUAAUACCGGAUAAGUCUUUACGGAGAAAGCUUUAUGCACCAUUGGAUGAGCCCGCACUUGAUUAGUUUGUUGGUAGGGUAAUGGCCUACCAAGACUACGAUGAUUAGCGGAUCUGAGAGGAUGAUC
rnacentral:rRNA from 1 species